rnacentral:rRNA from 1 species
CGUGGAGGAUGACGCAUUUCGGUGUGUAAACUCCUUUUAUGAGUCAGGAAAAUGACGGUAGCUCAUGAAUAAGCACCGGCUAACUCCGUGCCAGCAGCCGCGGUAAUACGGAGGGUGCAAGCGUUAUUCGGAAUCACUGGGCGUAAAGGACGCGUAGGCGGGAAGCCAAGUCUGAUGUGAAAUCCUAUGGCUUAACCAUAGAACUGCAUUGGAAACUGGUUACCUAGAGUAUGGGAGGGGGAGAUGGAAUUAGUGGUGUAGGGGUAAAAUCCGUAGAUAUCACUAGGAAUACCGAAAGCGAAGGCGAUCUCCUGGAACAAUACUGACGCUAAGGCGUGAAAGCGUGGGGAGCAAACGGGAUUAGAUACCCCGGUAGUCCACGCCCUAAACGAUGUUCACUAGUCGUCGGAAUGCUAGUCAUUUCGGUGAUGCACUUAACAGAUUAAGUGAACCGCCUGGGGAGUACGGUCGCAAGAUUA